rnacentral:lncRNA from 10 species
GUCGCGCCUGGUAUGCGCAUGCGUACUAAGUGCGAACCUUUCUCUGCCCCGCCCAUAAUCUUUAGAUUUGCCUUCCAUGCUUUGCCCCUUCCCCUUCCCAUCUUCUCUUGAAGUUACCUAGAUUGCGUCUAUUAUUUGAAUGACUCGUACAAAAGAGAUGCUAUUUAUCGGGCAAAAGCCGGGAGUUCGUGCCCUCUACGCCCGCAAGGAAAACUACAACUCCCAUGAGGACACGGGUGAGAUUGAGGCCGGGCUCCGCCUCCUUCUCCCUGGAGCUUGGUGGACGCCUUCCCAGUGCCACGUGGCGGGGAGCUGAUCUGAUCGCGGGCGUGACGACGGCCCGCACGGCUAGCUGCUUGGCCCGCGGGCCUGGGCAGCCCUGGAGCGGGAAACGCCUCCGUGAGAACGCAUGGCUUCAAGCUUCUCCCUUGCGCUCCUGAUCUUAGGCUGAUCGCUUUUACCUUUAGGUUGAAGUUGAACACAGUUCACACUGUGCUCUUCCUCCCCCUCUUUCUGGAAUUCCAGGCAACAGAUUUAACACUUUAUGAAUCUUGAAGAGCUGCACUCCUCCUAAAUAUUGCAGUUAAUGCUGAUCCUUUGGAAGCCUCCGAAGGCCACAAGGCUGUGAUGGGAGCCUCUGGCUUCAGUUGCCUUUCUCACACCUUAUUUUAAUACUCAAGGUAAACCCUUCUGUACAACUUUAGAAAUAACUGUCAACCUAAAGGAAAAACGGAGGCAAAGUUAAUAUAAAUAGAGAAUUUAUUUGGGCCAAGUCUCAAGAAUGCAAACUGGGAGCAUCACUUCAAGUUACCCUUAAUUUAAUACAUGAUCUUAGCAGCAGUUUCAAGUGAGUUCUUUGUUUUGUUGGCCAGGAAGCUUGAACUCUUGUCUCAAAGGAAUUGAUCCUUCCAUCUCUGCCUCCCAAAGUACUGGGAUUACAGGUGUGGGCGACUGCACCCGGCUACAAGUGAAUUUUUAAAGGAAAAAAAAAGAAGAGGCCCUUGCUAAAUUGUAUUCCAAGAAUUUACAUUAAAAUAACAACCUAUCCAUUGGCUAUACUUGUUCUUUCUAUCACGGAUUCUGGGAACACGAAGAUAAAGGGUGAUGCUUGUACAGGGCAGAAAAGAACAAAGUGCCUUUAAACAAUUGCUAGUGUACAUGGGGAUGGUGCUAACUGACAUCUCAUACUCAGGUCUCUCUGGGUCUGAUAAAUUUUGAAUGCCUGGCCGGGCUGGUGGGGUUGCUCACACUCGUAAUCUCAGCAUUUUGGGAGCCUAAGGGGGAAGGAUCUCUUAAGGCCAAGAAUUCGAAACCAGCCUCGGUAAUAUACCAACAGGCUAUCUCUUAAAAAAUUUUAAAAAUUAGCCAGGCACGGUGAUGCAUCAUGCAACCGUGCUCCAUCCUGGGUGACAGACUGAGAUCCUGUCUCAAAAAAUAAGAUAAAGAAUAAAUCUCCUUUUUAUAAAAUCUUUUUAUAAAAAUUAAAUAAAAAUUAAAAUUUUUAAAUAAUUCAAAUUUUAAAUAUUAGCUAGGUGUGAUGGGGCACGCCUGUAGCUCUAGUUACUCAGGAGGCUGGGGCGGGAGGAUUGCUUGAGCCUGGAAGUUCAAGGUCACUGUGAGCUGUGAUUACACCACUGCACUCCAGCCUGGAUAAGAGACCCCAUAACUUUAAUUAAAAAAAAAUGGGGGACUGGGCACGGUGGCUCAUGGCUGUAAUCCCAGCACUUUGGGAGGGUGAGGUGGGAGGAUCACUUGAGUCCAGGAGUUCAAGACCAGCCUGGGCAACAUAGUGAGACCCCAUCUCUAUUUCUUAAAUUAGUAAAUACAAAUACAAAUAAAUUGUUUUGUUCUGUGAGUUACCAGGAAUGUAAAAAAGAUUAAAAUAAAAUAAAUUGUUGCAUACUUUUAAUAUAGCGUAGACUGCUCUAUUUUUCUCCUGUCAUAAUGAAACACUUUGCCAGUUCAUUGGCCCCUCUAAAUUCUCCUCAAGAUAAGUGUGACUUUGAUUUUUUUCACCAACAUUUAUUGAACAUGGGUUAAGAGACGGGUGGUGUUAGAGAGUGCAGAUAAGUACUACAUUUUUAAGCGACUGGUCUCACAGAGCCAGGAGUUUGCCUGGGAAAACAGUUAAAGUCUAAGGGUUUGGCUAGAAAAGAAUUAGAACAUUAAUUAACAUUAUGGUAAGUGCUGGGAAGGAGGACAGGGUACUAUGAAAGGGUAAAAUUGGAGAACCACUUUGCAGAUAAGGAAAGAAGCAUAGAAGCAGCUCACAGAUUAAUGAUUGUUUGUUUAGGUAAUGUGUAUUGUGUAAAACAAAUGUCACCUUUUAAAAAAUAUUCAGCUUUUAUUAAGUGCCUGUAUUACUCCUGUCUAUCUAUUAUAUAUAAUAUUUUAAAUUUCAACAACACUUUAUGGGUUAUAUAUAUAUAUAUAUAUAUAUAUAUAUAUAUAUAUAUUUUUUUUUUUUUUUUUUUUUUUUUGAGAUGGAGUCUUGCUCUGUCACCCAGGCUGGAGUACAGUGGCGCUAUAACAUCUCACUGUAACCUACCUUCUAGUCAAGUGAUGCUCCCACCUCAGCCUCUCAAGUAGCUGGGACUGCAAGCUCACACUACUAUGACCUGCUACUUUUUCUUUUUCUUUUCAUAGAGAUGUGGUAUCCCCGUGUUGCCCAGGCUGGUCUUGAACUUCUGCUCUCCUUGGCUCAAGCAAUCCUCCUGCCUCUUCCUCCCAAAGUGCUGGGAUUACAGGUGUGAGCCACAGAGCCUGGCCAACACUUUCAAGUUGAUUUUUUUAAAUUCUCAUUUCACAAAAAAAAAAAAAAAAAAAAGAAAGAAAAAAAGGAACAGAUGUAGAAAGACUAAGUAACACUUAUAGAAGGCCAUAAGCUUAGGACAUAUAGUCAUGUGCUGCUUAAUAACGUUCCAGUCAAAAACAGACUGCACAUACUACAGUGGCCCCGUAAGGUUAUUUUAUCAUAUUUUUAUUUUACCUUUUUCAUGUUUAGAUACACAAAUACUUACCAUUGUGUUACAAUCACCUAUAGCAUUCAGUACAGUAACAUGCAGUUUUCUAGCCUAGGAGCACUAUGCUCUACCAUAUAGCCUAGAUGUGUAGUUGACUAUACCAUCUAGGUUUCUGUAAAUACACUCAAUGUUUAUACAACGAUGAAGUUGGCUAAUGACGCAUUUCUCAGAACAUAUCCCAGUCUUUAAUGACACAUGACUGUACUCCUAAUUACCAUGUCCCGUCUUCCCACUGUCACACAUGCAUUCAACAAAGAUUUCCUACUUUCCCAUGCUCAGAAUGCUUCAGCCUCCCCGUUUAGUUUAUGUCUUCAAACCUAGAGUCCUUUGGAUGGCAUAAAAGGCACUUCAUGAGCUGACAUCUGCCUACCGUUGACACUGAAUCCUGAGCAGUUGCCAGAACACACCAUGCCCUCCCACACCUGUGCCUUUGCAGAGAACACUCCACUGCCUGUAAAGCCCUUCUCCCUGUCCUUCUAACAUAUACCCACUCACCCUACUCUGCGGCAGUUUUGGGUCUUCAGGGAAACUUUCCACCUCAGCCUCUCUCCACAUACACAGCAUUUCUCUUUCUAAUUGAAGCUGUCUCUACUCCCCAUUUCUCCUUUUUUUCUUUUCUUUUCUUUUCUUUUUUUUUUUUUUUUCGACACAGUAUCUCACUCUGUCACUCAGGCUGGAGUGCAGUGGUGUAAACACAGCUCACUGGCACCUCAACCUCCUGGGCUCAAGAGAUCUUCCCACCUGAGCCUCCCAGGAAGCUGGGACUACAGGCGUGCAUCACCACACUGCACCUGGCUAAUUUAAAACUAUAAACAUUUUGUAGAGAUGGGAUCUCGCCGUGUUAACCAGGCUGGUCUUGAAUUCCUGUCUCAAGCAGUCCUCCCGCCUCAGUGUGAACCACAGUGCCCAGCCCCUACUUCUUGAAAUCAUGGGUGACAGCAUGCACAAAUAUCCUGAAGUCUUUCUUACAGAGUAUUUUCUAAAGAGACCAACAUUUAUUUGAGAAGGGAAGCACCUGUUCUUCCCACGGCAGUGGUAGUAGGACAACAAUGCGCAGCUGAAUUGGGAUGAGGGGCCAGGACAAAGCAGAAAUCUGCUGCAGAGAGCAGGAAAGAUAUUCUGUAGCAGGAUCUGGGCAAGCGGCACUCAUCCAUAUCCUUUGCAUUGCAAAGAGAGGAGCUACCUCCUUCCUUUUUAUUUUCCAGUUUAUUGGUGGCUCCUAGAACCUCUGAGAACUAACUGAUUUUGACCUCUUAACAGUUGCCUUUCAACUACCAUUCAUUUACUGCAAGCCUACUGUGUAACAGGCCCUUGCUAACCACUUCAGAUAUAUUGUCUCUUGUCCAGCUUCAAGUGACUCUCUUAGGGAGGGAUUAGCCUCACCUCACUAGUAUGGAAAUGGAGACUUGGAGUAAUCAAGUGACUUGCUCUGAAUUACACAGCUGGGAAGUGGUGAAGCUGGAAUUCAACUCAAGUUAUGUCUAGAUCUAAAACUCAUGCUCUUUUCUAUGCUCAAAGCUGCAUAUCAAAACUGAACUUUAGCAUGGAGUCUAUGAUGACUGGCUCAUGUCUCUCCACCCAGCACCUAGCCCAAGGCCAAGCACAGAGAAGGCUCACAGUGGACACUUUUGGAAUGAGUAGAUUUUUUAUGGAAUGGUUGGUAAAUGAAGGCCUGGGCACGGUGUGAACAGUGUUGUGGGACAGCAGAGGAGGGGGUAGUGGCUGAUUAGGGGACGUGGAGAAGCCUCUGCAGAGGAACAGAAAUGAGUGAGGCCUGGAGAAAUAAGUAGUCAGACAAAGACGGACAAUUCAGCAUUCUCACAGCAAAGACCACUAACAGGCAAUUCACAGAACAGGAAACCCAAAGGCCGUGAAUAGGUGCUCUGCAUCACUAACAGUCAGAAAAAUGCAAAUUAUCUCAUGCACAGUAGAUGAGAAUACAAACUGGAAAAGUGUGUUAGGAGAGCUAUUUAAUAGCAUCUAUCACAAUUAUAAAUGAGGUAUGUUCUUAAAUGUGUGUACAAACAUUGUGAUAGAAAAAAUGGAAAUAUUCAUUAGUAGGGAACAAACUAAACAAGAACACAUUUAUACCAUUUAAAAAUAUUAUGCCACGUUUGGCUGGGCACAGUGGCUCACACCUGUAAUCCUAACACUUUGGGAGGCUGAGGAGGGCAGAUUGCCUGAGCCCAGGAGUUUGAGACAAGCCUGGGCAACAUAGCCAGAGGCAGUCUCUAGGGGAAAAAAAAAAAUAUAUAUAUAUAUAUAUGUGUAUAUAUAUAUAUAUAUAUAUAUAUAUAUGCACACACAUAUGUGGCAUAUGUAUAUAUAUGUAUAUAUAUGUAUAUAUAUGUGUGUGUAUAUAUAUAUACACAUAUGUGGCAUAUAUAUACAUAUAUAUAUGCCAUUUUUAAAAGAAUAAAGGGAAUCUGCAUGCACUGACAUGGAAAGAUUGCCAAAGACGUACACUUAAAUGAAAAAAGGUAAAUUGCAGAGCAGUAAGGAUAUAGUGUUCUCAUUUUAUUAUGUUUUUAAAGGGUACAAGUGUGCCUGUGUAUAGAUAUGUGUGUAUAUAAGUGCAUAGACAAAAUACUAGAUGAAUACCAAUCGUUAACAGUGGUUAUUUACCUCUUAGGAGGGGAGUAGGAAUGGAGGAGAUUGAAGAAUGACUUUCACUUUAAAAAGUGAGAUGUGAUUCAUUGAGAAAAACAGCACAUUACUUCUAUGGCAUUCACAUCAAAAGUGCGUAACUUGAAUAUAACCAUGAGGUACACUCUAAAAAUACUGGACUUAUCUCUUCAAAACUGUCAGUGGCAGGAAAUGCAAAGAAAGACCGAGGAACUGUACCGCAUUAAAGGAACAAUUGGCAACAUCCAGAUCUAGGUCGAGCACACUGAACUACCUGGAGUAAAGGGGCAUCAUGUCUGAAACUGAUGCUUAAGUGGCUCAGAAAAAAAAUUCUGGGAGCUAGAGGGAGAGAGAGACAGAGGAGUGUGGUAAAAAGUUAACAUUUUGGGGAUCUGCGUAAAGGUAUAUGAGGAUUCUUUGUACAGAUUUUGCAAUUUUUCUCCAAAUGUGAAAUUAUGUCAAAAUAUAAAAUUAAAAGACAAAAUUAAAAGAAUGAAUGAGAGUUUGCUAGGUAGAGAAGCAGGGGGAUCUUCUGGCAAAGGAACAGGAUAAGCAAAAGCAUCACAAGUGUGCGAGUCUUCUGUGUUGACAAACAAGCCCUGACUCUGAAUAUCCAGGACUAGCAUGGUGUGGGGAGACGGGGAUUAGACGUAUGAUGAGCAGCAUAACCCACAAAUGGACACAUUUCCCUGCUACCUAAGAUUGGAAGUAAAGACUUUAGGCCUACAUUAUACCCAGCCUCAAGAGUUGCAAGACAUAACAUGAGUUCUCAUGGCGGCUCAGUCUUUGCAUUGGCAGUGUCUCUUCAUCCAGUGACUGUGUGGAACAAUGGAAGCCCUAGAAUCAUGGCUGAAAGGGACAUCUAGUCCAACUCUCUCAUUUUGCAGAAGGGACAACUAAGAUGCAAAAUGAAGAGAUUUGCAAGGCCCCAGCAAAGGUUAGUGUUAAAACUGGCCUGCAGGCCGGGUGUGGUGGCUCACACCUAUAAUCCCAGCACUUUGGGAGGCCUAGGAGGGUGGAUCACCUGAGAUCAGGAGUUUGAGACCAGCCUGCCCAACAAGGUGAAACCCUGUCUCUACUAAAAACACAAAAAUUAGCCAGGUGUGGUGGCACACGCCUGUAAUCCCAGCUACUGGGGAGGCUAAGGCAGGAGAAUCGCU